GGCAGAAUGGUCAAACCUGGGUACGACACCUCCUUGGUAUGGAGGAGAUACGGGUUCAAAUCCCGUUUCUGCCU
rnacentral:tRNA from 2 species